CGGACGGGUGAGUAACACGUGGAUAACCUACCUAUAAGACUGGGAUAACUUCGGGAAACCGGAGCUAAUACCGGAUAAUAUAUUGAACCGCAUGGUUCAAUGGUGAAAGACGGUUUUGCUGUCACUUAUAGAUGGAUCCGCGCCGCAUUAGCUAGUUGGUAAGGUAACGGCUUACCAAGGCAACGAUGCGUAGCCGACCUGAGAGGGUGAUCGGCCACACUGGAACUGAGACACGGUCCAGACUCCUACGGGAGGCAGCAGCA
rnacentral:rRNA from 1 species